rnacentral:sRNA from 1 species
UCUUCGUAUGCUGGAUGGUCUAACGCCACC